CUGCAAGCCUCCAGCGUGCUGGCGUCUGGAGUGACCCUGUGCAUUCCUACAGUGCUUGCAAGAACAUUAUGAAAUAGUUUGAGGCCUUGCCCGGCUGCAUCCAGAGCAAGGCUAUAGAAAUUUCAGACAAAU
ensembl:snoRNA